AACGAACGCUGGCGGCAGGCUUAACACAUGCAAGUCGAGCGCCCCGCAAGGGGAGCGGCAGACGGGUGAGUAACGCGUGGGAAUCUACCCAUCUCUACGGAAUAACGCAUGGAAACGUGUGCUAAUACCGUAUACGUCCUUCGGGAGAAAGAUUUAUCGGAGAUGGAUGAGCCCGCGUUGGAUUAGCUAGUUGGUGGGGUAAAGGCCUACCAAGGCGACGAUCCAUAGCUGGUCUGAGAGGAUGAUCAGCCACACUGGGACUGAGACACGGCCCAGACUCCUACGGGAGGCAGCAGUGGGGAAUAUUGGACAAUGGGCGCAAGCCUGAUCCAGCCAUGCCGCGUGAGUGAUGAGGGCCCUAGGGUUGUAAAGCUCCUUCACCGGUGAAGAUAAUGACGGUAACCGGAGAAGAAGCCCCGGCUAACUUCGUGCCAGCCGCCGCAGUAAAAC
rnacentral:rRNA from 1 species